rnacentral:tRNA from 2 species
UCCCUGGUGGUCUAGUGGUUAGGAUUCAGUGCUUGCACUGCUGCAGCCUGGGUUUGAUCCCCGGCCUGGGAA